AAUAAUUUAGGACUGGAUUGUCUUUUUUACACAUAAAAAAGAAAGGAAGAUAACAGUUUCUAAAUGACCAGCAUUAACUCAUGAUAUAAGCAACGACUGAACAAAUGAUCUACUACUUAAGUGCAUGACUACUCAAAGGCAUAUAGCAACCAAGGUAUUUUGUGUCAGCAUAACAUGGAUCCAAUAAUAGCAAAGAUAAAUAACCUAUCAACUCCUCAGUAAACAUAUAGUGUUAGCCGUAAUAUUCCAUAAGGUUGAUUUGCAUAGAAAAGAGCUAGGCUUUACGACAUCUAUUUUCUCAUCAGAUUACAUAAUAUAUGUGAAUCAAUGAACGCAUACUCGAGUACAAGUAAAUUCCAUAUCUCAUAAGAAUAUAUAAUAACAUGAGUAGUUUCAACAAGCGAGUCAAUAAGAACCUGGUUGAUACGAGUCAGAAAACAUAACAGGGUAUAAACCAAAAAUGAGAAUAUGCACCUUGCAAAGGAUGACGGGAAUAGAGAAAUUAUUUUCUUGCACGUAAAAUGGGAACUUAUUACUGGUUUUUAUCCACAUCGGAUGGUUGCAUAAGAGAAAAGUUACCUCGAAACUAUUGUUACGCGAUGGAAAUAAUUAUACAUCUACAGAAAAGGUAGGGCGAUUGCAUAUAUAGGUUCCAACCUUUAACAUAUAAUGAAGAUUAUAUUUUUACUAGUAACUCAGAGGAAGCAAGGAUGAUUUGAUUUCACAAGAACAAGCAAAAACAUGGUGUGAAUGACAGCAUAAACUUCUAAAUCAGACAAACCUGUCUAACAACUGCAGAAGAAACUUCAGCAAAGCUUAGAUCUGGAUAUGGGAGAUCACAGCAAUAAAUUUCCCAUAAGCAAAUACCAAAGCUGUAUACAUCACAUUUUCUGUUGUAGGGCUUGCCAUCAAGUACCUACACAAUGCAUUUGAUCAUAGUACAGAAAAAUUAGAUUCGAUGUGACAUAGCAUUUUCUGUUGUAGGGCUUUCCAUCAAGUACCUACACAAUGCAUUUGAUCAUAGUACAGAAAAAUUAGAUUUAACGUGGCAUAGAAAUUACAUUCAAGAAAAUAUAAGGAUUUUCUUGAAAUAUUUCGCACGCUGCAUGUGAGAUAGGAAGAGGGUAGACAGGUGAUGAUAUGCUGACAUGAUAUGACAAAGCCAACCCAACAGAUCCAGUAAAAGUGAG
rnacentral:lncRNA from 1 species